rnacentral:rRNA from 1 species
GAUGAACGCUGGCGGCGUGCUUAACACAUGCAAGUCGAGCGGAGCUUAUCAGCGGAUCCCUUUCGGGGGUGAAAGUGAUGAGUUUAGCGGCGGACGGGUGCGUAACGCGUGGGUAAUCUGCCCUUGUCACUGGGAUAACACAUCGAAAGGUGUGCUAAUACCGGAUAACAUGCAGACUCGGCAUCGAGACUGCAUCAAAGAUUUACGGACAAGGAUGAGCCCGCGUCUGAUUAGCUAGUUGGUGGGGUAAAAGCCUACCAAGGCCACGAUCAGUAGCCGACCUGAGAGGGUGAUCGGCCACACUGGAACUGAGACACGGUCCAGACUCCUACGGGAGGCUG